rnacentral:rRNA from 1 species
AUGGAGUUUCGGUGGCGCAGCUAACGCAUAAAGUUAUCCGCCUGGGGAGUACGUUCGCAAGAUUAAAACUCAAAGGAAUUGACGGGGGCCUGCACAAGCGGUGGAGCAUGUGUUUAAUUCGAAGCAACGCGCAGAACCUUACCAACGUUUGACAUCCUCAUCGCGAUUUCCAGAGAUGGAUUUCUUCAGUUCGGCUGGAUGAGUGACAGGUGCUGCAUGGCUGUCGUCAGCUCGUGUCGUGAGAUGUUGGGUUAAGUCCCGCAACGAGCGCAACCCUCGCCUUUAGUUGCCAUCAUUUAGUUGGGUACUCUAAAGGAACCGCCGGUGAUAAGCCGGAGGAAGGUGGGGAUGACGUCAAGUCCUCAUGGCCCUUGCGGGUUGGGCUACACACGUGCUACAAUGGCGGCGACAAUGGGCAGCGAAGGGGCGACCCGGUGCAAAUCCCAAAAAGCCGUCUCAGUUCGGAUUGUACUCUGCAACUCGACUGCGUGAAGUCGGAAUCGCUAGUAAUCGCGGAUCAGCAUGUCGCGGUGAAUACGUUCCCGGGUCUUGUACACACCGCCCGUCACACCAUGGGAGUGGGUUUUACCAGAAGUAGUUAGCCUAACCGUAAGGGGGGCGAUUACCACGGUAGGAUUCAUGACUGGGGUGAAGUCGUAACAAGGUAGCCGUAUCGGAAGGU